AAAAGAACCUUCGCCGAGAAGGCUGCUAAUGAAUUCAGACUGCAUAGUUCUCAAAAUCUGAUGUUUUGCAAUGAUGACAUUAGCGUGGCGGCAGAGGGUCCGAGCCCAGAAAGUCUGCGCAGCUGCUCGGCGCUUUGAGCGCCCGGGACAAUGGGCGCAGUGUUCGGCCUCGGCCUCUCCAGGCCAUUUGCAUACCCCGUUCUGCCUGAGUGACCAGCGGAGCUGCGGCAGGGAGCAGCAUUGUCCACGGAUCACUUCAAGAUGACCGAGAUGACAAGAGCCAGAAACACCAUUUUGAAAAGUUGCGACUGAGGCCCCUUGGCCGGCAAAUCUGAGCUGCAGAAGCGCCUGAAGCCCGGACGUUAAACCUCCAAUCACCAGCCAGGGCAGCUCCUGCUGGGACAGCGCGGGCGCGCGGCCCCUCCACC
rnacentral:lncRNA from 1 species